UGUCUUCAAUGUUGUAGCUAGUUGUACUCUUAAUAUUGUUAGAAUGUGUAUUAACCUUGCAUAAAGUAUAUACUUGUUACUCACUGUCGCAAGAGCAUUUUGGGCCAUCCUUAAAUUGGUGGGAAGCAUGUUGUCGACAACAUCAAUGUCUUUGCUGAGACGAUUGACAAUCCUUCCCAUCGGCGUUGUGUCAAAGAAGCUCAUCGGACAACGCAGGAUGUUUGACAGCAUCGACUCGUGAAGAUGUCCAGCACCCAGGACUGUGGCUAUUGCCAACAUAAAUGUACUCGCUACUACUGUGACCACUGUGAAAAGAAUCAACAUCAUAACAAAAUCGUCAUUUAGAUUAAAAUUAACUGCAAAAAAGUGCUCUUUAAUAUUAGUCAUAUUUACGAAUGGCUUUAAUAGUCCAAGAUUUUAAAUCAUUCAGAAUUAGUCUUGCAUUUUAUUGGUAUUACAAUAAUACAUUAAUCCAGAAGUCCAUUCAAGCAUAUUUGUAGCGCUUUCUAACUAGCCUAAUUUCAUAAACUGAUACACCCAUUACAUUUGUGAAACAAUGCGUUAGAAAAUCUCCUAAUAAAUAUAAUUUAUUUCCAGAUUUUAUAGCUAAAGCAAUCACUACCUUAUAAAUUUUUCGGAACACACCGUGUUGCAACAUUGUAACAUAACUGAAAUAUUUGGUAAAGCCUAUCACUCAAAGGCUAAACAUGUAUGUUAACUGUAUGCGUGUGUCUCUGCGAGAUAUCCCAAAUUGAAUAGACCUGUAAACUUUUGUAUGAAGCUUCAUUAAUGUACAAGGAACAUCAUUCUCGAUGAUGGUCCAUGUCACUCCAUGGGAUUUGGCUGAGCAUUACCGAAAAGUUGUACAUUGGUCUCAUAGCAACCAUAAUGGUAAUGAAAAAAUCAUAAACAUUUAUAAACAGAGUAAGGUCAUUCAUGUGACAUUUUAGUAAGUGAUGUUUAGUAGAUUGGUUGCUAAAACAUUAAUUACAACCUAUUAGGUCCUUCGUACCUGUACAACUCCGUUGUAUCUAUUUUUUUGUAUAUAGACUGGUAUUUAUAUAAUCAAAUCCGGCUCGUAUGGACCCAAAUGUUUUAUAUAGAGUAAUAAAUUACUAAAUUACUUUUUUAAUUGAAUAGGUUACCACCCCUAUAGACUCGGAGGGAGCGAUGAUUCGUACAAACAAUAGACUAGGCUCUUAAUGAGUGAAUAUACUACCGUAUAACAUAAAUAAUAUAAAGCAAAGGGGACCUGUAUUGGGGAGGGUUGCUUAAUUAUGAGAUUAAGUUUGUAGAGUAAAAAUAAGAGGAAUGAAUACUAUAUGACUUGCGAUAAUGACGUUUGUAUCCUCACAUGGCACAGUACUGGUGUUGUCCAUAGGACUGCUUUGGGUUGUUCUCAAGAGGUUGCUCAUGCGUCUAUCACUUACAGAAAUUGUCAUCACACCGGUACGAUGGGUAAACGGCACGUAGUAUAAAAAUGAGAAUGAGGAUGACCUAUCACAACGCGAUUAGCGAAUCUUCCACCAAAUGAGUAAAUACAACAAAAAAAGUCGCAUUAAUCGCUGAUUGGUUAUUCUUCUGCUAACCUUUAUACAGCUCCACCCUCAUUUCUUUAUCUUUAUAACAGGGUGUGCAUCCAAAACUCUGAAACUUUUGGUUUAAAUCGACCUGUUUCCUGAUAAUGUGGCUUUCCAUCCGAAAUACAACACUCAAGACUUCAGUUACAUUAAAGGGUUUUCUUGCCUGUGUUUAGCCGUAAAACUUUGAUGAAAGUUAUAUAGCAUUCUUUUAUACAUUGUAUUAGCCUAGAGAUGAGAUUUCUAUUAUACACUUUUUCAUGUCACUAACCUUGUGCGAGACCGAAGGUAAAGUACAUCUGCAGGUAGAAGUUGCGUUUGUCCAGGACCUGAGUACCGUUGACAGUGGCCGACUGGUCCGAGGUCCAGCGAGACAGCCAGAUGUUGGCGAGUAUAGCAGCGGCCUGGGAGAGUAGGGAGAGACUGAAUGUUCCCACCACUAGCCAUACUCCCAUACACUUGCAGUAGUGCAGGUAUACUCCUCUCUUCACCUUCACACAAUCCGUUCAUUCUAACUGGAACUUGUAAGUACAAUACGAACCUUAGUCAAACAUAAACCCGAUGUUGGUGAGGAUAGCCGCGGCCUGGGAGAGUAGGGAGAGACUGAAUGUCCCCACCACUAGCCAUACUCCCAUACACUUGCAGUAGUGCAGGUAUACUCCUCUCUUCACCUUCACACAAUCUGACACGUUCAUUCUAACUGGAACUUGUAAGUACAAUACGAACCUUAGUCAAACAUAAACCCGAUGUUGGCGAGGAUAGCAGCGGCCUGGGAGAGUAGGGAGAGACUGAAUGUCCCCACCACUAGCCAUACUCCCAUACACUUGCAGUAGUGCAGGUAUACUCCUCUCUUCACCUUCACACAAUCUGACACGUUCAUUCUAACUGGAACUUGUAAGUACAAUACGAACCUUAGUCAAACAUAAACCCGAUGUUGGCGAGGAUAGCAGCGGCCUGGGAGAGUAGGGAGAGACUGAAUGUCCCCACCACUAGCCAUACUCCCAUACACUUGCAGUAGUGCAGGUAUACUCCUCUCUUCACCUUCACACAAUCUGACACGUUCAUUCUAACUGGAACUUGUAAGUACAAUACGAACCUUAGUCAAACAUAAACCCGAUGUUGGCGAGGAUAGCAGCGGCCUGGGAGAGUAGGGAGAGACUGAAUGUCCCCACCACUAGCCAUACUCCCAUACACUUGCAGUAGUGCAGGUAUACUCCUCUCUUCACCUUCACACAAUCUGACACGUUCAUUCUAACUGGAACUUGUAAGUACAAUACGAACCUUAGUCAAACAUAAACCCGAUGUUGGCGAGUAUAGCAGCGGCCUGGGAGUGUAGGGAGAGACUGAAUAAACGUUACUAGCAUUACUAGCCAUACUCCCUUACACUUGCAGUAGUGCAGGUAUACUCCUUUCUUCACCUUCACACAAUCUGACACGUUCAUUCUAACUGGAACUUGUAAGUACAAUACGAACCUUAGUCAAACAUAAACCCGAUGUUGGCGAGGAUAGCAGCGGCCUGGGAGAGUAGGGAGAGACUGAAUGUCCCCACCACUAGCCAUACUCCCAUACACUUGCAGUAGUGCAGGUAUACUCCUCUCUUCACCUUCACACAAUCUGACACGUUCAUUCUAACUGGAACUUGUAAGUACAAUACGAACCUUAGUCAAACAUAAACCCGAUGUUGGUGAGGAUAGCAGCGGCCUGGGAGAGUAGGGAGAGACUGAAUGUCCCCACCACUAGCCAUACUCCCAUACACUUGCAGUAGUGCAGGUAUACUCCUCUCUUCACCUUCACACAAUCUGACACGUUCAUUCUAACUGGAACUUGUAAGUACAAUACGAACCUUAGUCAAACAUAAACCCGAUGUUGGCGAGGAUAGCAGCGGCCUGGGAGUGUAGGGAGAGACUGAAUAAACGUUACUAGCAUUACUAGCCAUACUCCCUUACACUUGCAGUAGUGCAGGUAUACUCCUUUCUUCACCUUCACACAAUCUGACACGUUCAUUCUAACUGGAACUUGUAAGUACAAUACGAACCUUAGUCAAACAUAAACCCGAUGUUGGCGAGGAUAGCAGCGGCCUGGGAGAGUAGGGAGAGACUGAAUGUCCCCACCACUAGCCAUACUCCCAUACACUUGCAGUAGUGCAGGUAUACUCCUCUCUUCACCUUCACACAAUCUGACACGUUCAUUCUAACUGGAACUUGUAAGUACAAUACGAACCUUAGUCAAACAUAAACCCGAUGUUGGCGAGGAUAGCAGCGGCCUGGGAGAGUAGGGAGAGACUGAAUGUCCCCACCACUAGCCAUACUCCCAUACACUUGUAGUAGUGCAGGUAUACUCCUCUCUUCACCUUCACACAAUCUGACACGUUCAUUCUAACUGGAACUUGUAAGUACAAUACGAACCUUAGUCAAACAUAAACCCGAUGUUGGCGAGUAUAGCAGCGGCCUGGGAGUGUAGGGAGAGACUGAAUAAACGUUACUAGCAUUACUAGCCAUACUCCCUUACACUUGCAGUAGUGCAGGUAUACUCCUUUCUUCACCUUCACACAAACUGAUACGUUUAGUCUAUCGGGAACUUUUCACUAUGAUACAAACCUUAGUUAAACAUAACGCAAAUGUUGGCGAGUGUAGUAUCAGCCUAUAAUACGACUACAGUUGUUUGAAAACAGAAGUAAAAUUUAUAAAUAAGCCGUUAUAGUAUUCGUUUUGGAACUACAAGCACUGACUGGAGCUAAGUUCUGAUUCUGGUAUAUAAUUCGCGGAUUAUAUUUACUCGCAGACCAUAGUUCCUAGCGACUCACAGUUCUUAGUACCGACCUAUAUACAAAUGUUAAAUGUUGCAGAUUGUUUUACAUUUGGUUAAAAUGUUCUCCAUUAAACAUUUUUUUUAAAUAAGAUGGUUGAGUUAUUACAAAAUUUGAAUACCAUACCAGUAUAAACCACUAUUGAGUUACGUCUGUAAAAGGUAUAACAUUUCCUCAUUUACGGUUUUCAAUAUUUUGAACUAAAUGUAAAAAGUUUAGCGGUAACAGUAAAAUUAUUUUUUUUAACACAGUUACUGUGCAUAUCUGCAAAUCUGCUUAACAAUGAAAAUAUAAGGCGAAAGAGAUAAAAAUAGUCAAGUAGACUAAAAUUAAAGUUAUUACGAUUAAAGUAAUGUAUAAGUCAUACAUGUAAAAGUUUAAUUUCGGAACAUUUUGAUACGAAACCAAUAACACAAACAAGUUCUUAAUUUAUUAAUAUUUGAUAUAUAUUUUAAAACCAAUACUAUAUAACCGUUAAUAAUAGUAAUACGUAAUAAGCAUACUACACUUACUCUUCCAGUUACAGCCGUCUCUGCUUGGAUCAGUUUGGCCUUUUUCUCUUCAGGUUCAGUAGCAAAUUUUCUGUAAGUAAUAAUAAAUCCACAAAAACUACAAAAUAAAAUACAGGUUCUCUAUCUUGUACCACAAAAAAAUUAAUCUGGAAAUAACGUGGGAAAAUAUACAAUUUUAUAAUUGUAGAAUAAUUUGUCUGUUCAAAAUUAUUAUUGUAAAGAAAUGUGAAAAAGGAUAUUGUCAUAAAAUUUAUGGAGUGCAAAAGUUUAAUAAGGAAAUGCAUUAAUAUAAAAAGGCAUUAUAUAAGUGAAAUAUUAUAUAGAUAUAAUGUUUAUGUUUUUAUCAGAAUUAAAUCAUCAAAUAUAUAAAUGUUCAAUAAAAUUUAUUAAAACCUAAAAAUUUGUUCAGGACUUUAUAAUAAUUCUUGUCUUCACUAUUCAUUGGAGUCAGGCAUUGUUUUCUUAUUAAACAAAUUAAACAAAAUAUCAACAGUACCUGUAUAGAGUAGCAAUUGAAUUUUUCCUCCCAGCUCUUUUUUCUGAUUCUUGAGUCUUCUGCAGCAAAUUUUCCGUUUCUUCAAAAUAAAUAGAUAUGAAAUGUGUAUUUUUGUAUUACAUCUUCCAAAACUUCAGUUUAUAUAAUAUGCUAUAAUUUUUCUAAAUAUAUACAACAAAAUAACUUGUAUUCACUUUGUAUUUGGCUGAAAAAAUUUGGCUAAUUUUAAACCCAUUUUACCAGUUGCGUAAGUUUAAUCUGCUUUUUAUUAAAAGUUUAAGUUUCCGACGGAUUUGUUGUACCCUUUUCACAAGAACAGUCCUGGCAGUCUUUUCUUCAGAAUGUAUUGGUAAAAUGUUCUCUACACUUACGAAAGUUUUAAUUACAAAAUAAAAAAUUUUUAACACGAUUUAAAACUUUUAAACAGUAAAAUGAUGUUAUUUUUUUUGUACAAUAAAUUCAAAAAUUACCUAAAUAGAGAGUAAAGAGUGUAGUUUUUAUUCUCAAUGUUUGUUAAAGAUAUAAUUUAAAUAUAAUUUUAAAAAGAUCCAGAUAUCUAAUCUAGUUUCUGAGACAAAAGUACAUAGCUUAACAUUACCCAGAUAGGAAUAAAGUUACUACCUUUUGAACUUUUCACAUCCAUGUCUGGUGUUAGGUACAAGGUACAAUAAUUUCAUAAAUAAUAAGGACGCUGAGAGUGUAGGAGUUAAGUGUCUCCUGAGGUUGAGUGAUUAUCGUAACAAUACACAAAUAAACGUUUUAAAUAUAUCAUAGAUUUCAAAUAUAAUAAAAAAAGUAUUAUAUUAAUCAAACAAUAUUUCAUCUGUUAAAAUAGAUUGGUAGCCCUAUAAGGAAACUCCCAACACUUAAUUAAGUUUAGCUCUUUGGCUUAUGUUUCUACAUACUAUUCUUAGUAUGUUCUUUAGUUCUUGAGAUAGUUCCAAGUAUAUGUUGCUUUUUUCUGUACUGGCCAGAGCAGUAGGAAUGUAAGACAAGGUUUAUGAAGAUCUCAUAUUAAAGUGGCGAAUGAUUUGGUGUAUAAUAUAGACUUAGAGAAUAUAUGUACUGUUCUACAGCCCGUGCCGUUAUAAUUUUAUUUUAAGACUCUUGGCCAACAGCUACAGCCACAGGGGUGAGACGUGUAACGUUUAUUUUUUCCAGUAAGAAUUUUUUUAAUUGAUAGAAGUAAAACUCUCUUUUAAAUGCGAUCCCUCAUGUGUUACAUUUAAGUAUGAAAUUGUAUGCAGAUAUUUUUGCAUCUACAGUGCGUUAGAGGCCCAGUCUACACUAGAAAAACCCCGAGCAGUUUCUUGCACAGUUGGUAACAUUGCAGGGACAAUAAUUGACGGGAGUCAAUUAUAGUAGCAAGUAAUAUAUAUUGUAGUUAUAAAGCAUAUUUCAGAUAUUCCUACGGUAUAUUUCUUGCUUUUGGUAUGGAAAAUCACUUUGAUAGAUUCAUUAAGGAUAAAAGUGUUAGGAACGCAAUAAUCAUUCGUCAAAGUGAAAGGUCCUAAUUAAAAUCAUUUAACAUGUCUUAAUCAAACAUUUAUCUGUAUUUAUUUCUGCAGCAUCGUUUUCUACAUAUAAUUAUAUCUAUUUGUCACGUUCCUUAAGAGUGGUUUAGUAGAUAAUUAGUUUGUCAAGCUGUUGAAUGAAUUUUUUGUGAUAGGCUUCAGUGUUCUGAUUAUACUGUAACUCUACAAGCUUUUACCUGUUGCUAAAUUAACUUUGUCCAGUUUUUAAAUUUCACAUAUGUUACUAGGCAAACCAAUAGAUAGGCAGGAACUCACCAUGUGAUUUUUUAUGAGUGACCGAGAAUAGGGUAAAAUUACUAACUUAAGCAUAAAAUAAUCAAUCAGUAGUCUACAUAACCGUUCACAUUUGGCUUAUUAUCUUUAUUUCAUAUGUAAAUUGUACUAACAUGUAGUUAGAAAAAGUCUCUUUAAAUCUCUGAAAUAAAAUUAACUUACCAGUAUCUCUUCUGUUUUGGUUGAUUUCUGUAUCAAUAAAAUCUGUUACAUUCCUUU